GUCUCUGUGGCGUAAUUGGUUAGCGCGUUAGACUGUUAAUCUAAAGGUUGAUGGUUCGAGCCCACCCAAGGAAGACA